rnacentral:rRNA from 1 species
GAUGAACGCUGGCGGCAUGCCUAACACAUGCAAGUCGAACGAGAAUCUGUGGAUAGAGGAUUCGUCCAAUUGAAACAGAGGACAGUGGCGAACGGGUGAGUAAUGCAUGAGCAACCUGCCCUUCAGAGGGGGACAACAGUUGGAAACGACUGCUAAUACCGCAUAACAUAUCCGGGAGGCAUCUCCUGGAUAUCAAAGAUUUAUCGCUGAAGGAUGGGCUCAUGUCUGAUUAGCUAGUUGGUGGGGUAACGGCCCACCAAGGCUGCGAUCAGUAGCCGGUCUGAGAGGAUGAACGGCCACAUUGGGACUGAGAUACGGCCCAG